rnacentral:rRNA from 1 species
CACGCAGGCGGUUUGUUAAGUCAGAUGUGAAAGCCCCGGGCUCAACCUGGGAACUGCAUUUGAUACUGGCAAACUAGAGUAUGAGAGAGAGAAGUAGAAUUCCACAUGUAGCGGUGAAAUGCGUAGAGAUGUGGAGGAACAUCAGUGGCGAAGGCGACUUCUUGGCUCAAUACUGACGCUCAGGUGCGAAAGCGUGGGGAGCAAACAGGAUUAGAUACCCUGGUAGUCC